AUUGAACGCUGGCGGCAUGCCUUACACAUGCAAGUCGAACGGCAGCACGGGUGCUUGCACCUGGUGGCGAGUGGCGAACGGGUGAGUAAUACAUCGGAACAUGUCCUGUAGUGGGGGAUAGCCCGGCGAAAGCCGGAUUAAUACCGCAUACGAUCUACGGAUGAAAGCGGGGGACCUUCGGGCCUCGCGCUAUAGGGUUGGCCGAUGGCUGAUUAGCUAGUUGGUGGGGUAAAGGCCUACCAAGGCGACGAUCAGUAGCUGGUCUGAGAGGCCGACCAGCCACACUGGGACUGAGACACGGCCCAGACUCCUACGGGAGGCAGCAGUGGGGAAUUUUGGACAAUGGGCGAAAGCCUGAUCCAGCAAUGCCGCGUGUGUGAAGAAGGCCUUCGGGUUGUAAAGCACUUUUGUCCGGAAAGAAAUACUUGGCCCUAAUACGGUCGGGGGAUGACGGUACCGGAAGAAUAAGCACCGGCUAACUACGUG
rnacentral:rRNA from 1 species